rnacentral:rRNA from 1 species
GCAAAGUUGUGUAGUGCGAUCGGUGGAUGCCUUGGCACCAAGAGCCGAUGAAGGACGUUGUGACCUGCGAUAAGCCCUGGGGAGUUGGUGAGCGAGCUGUGAUCCGGGGGUGUCCGAAUGGGGAAACCUGGAAUGUCCGGAGUAGUGUCCGGUGGCCCUGCCCUGAAUGUAUAGGGGUGUGGGUGGUAACGCGGGGAAGUGAAACAUCUUAGUACCCGUGGGAAGAGAAAACAAGUGUGAUUCCGUGAGUAGUGGCGAGCGAAAGCGGAGGAGGCUAAACCGUGUGUGUGUUCAAGCCGGCAGGUGUUGCAUGUGCGGGGUUGUGGGGGCCUUGUGGUUCUGCUGCCGCAGGAUUGGCCAGUGAGAAAUGUUGCGUGAAGGUGAAGCGUCUGGGAAGGCGUACCGGAGUGGGUGAGAGUCCUGUAACUGUAAGCGUGGCACUGGUGUGGGGUUGCCC